CAUGCCAGCAUCAUUGUGCCUAUUUUACAAAAAGGGAAACUGAAGCUUAUGAAAAAGGUGAUAUCUAACUCCAAAGCUCAAGCUCUUGCUUCUACUUCUGUACUUCUACUUCAACCUCUAUCCCAACUUCAUUCUGACACCCACGCCUUCUCCUAUCUAGACCCCUGAACGUGUCUCCUGUCCCACCCCUCUACACUCCGUGCAUGACUGUACAAGGCUGUAGUCUAUACGACUAUACCAUCUUAUUCAACCUGCUUUUACAUUGUGUGUAAAAGACAAGCUUGAACUCUGGUGCCCUUGAACAGAGCAUAAUUAGGAGACUAGAGAGAAGUGUUGGGGGGAGUCCAAAAAGGAGAGUGAGAAUAAAACGAUGGCUUGAGAGCGAUGACUUCUAAAAAACAGAGGAACAAUAGCAUGUGUGGCACUGAAGAUUCAGGAGAAAUGGGGGGGGAAAAGGCCGUGUUUUCUGAAUGGAAUGGGAGCCUGGAGGACUGGAUUCUGAGGAGCCUCCCAUUACCUCGGCUUGGGAGAGAACGGGUAGGUGUGAAGUGGACAAGGAAAACCAGGUGUCCUGGAGCACCGUGCAGGUAAGGUGUGCCCUGAGAAGGGGAGUGCUCAGCAGACCAAGGACAGGUAGAGGCACUGACAGAAAGGGCACAAGGCUGGAGUCUAGUGACAUCAUAUCCCCAGCAUUGGAAGAUCCUAAAUUCUAGGGUCACACAGGGAUAUCUGCAUGGAGAAUAAGGUGUUAUGAAUGGAUUAUUUUUACAUCUCAGACUUGUCAGGAUUUUAUUUUGGAGCUUGAUUCUUCCAUUUUCUUCUGUUUCUUCUGUCAUGUAUUCAUUUUCUCUGAUGUCAGGCAAGCGAGGACCUCUCUAGGAAAGGAAUAUACAAAUUGGCUUCCUGUCCAGGGAUUCAUACAUAUAUAGCCAUUAUUUUUUAAAAUAAAGAUUGUUCAGAAAGUUUAAAAGCACCUGCUCUUAAACUGGCCUGCAUGUGUGGUUGAGGACAGUUCCCAGAUGAAGGAGUCGUGCCGAAGGGGAGGAUCAUGGUGCAGGAGAGAGGCCUCUCGAAAAUCAGUAGGCAGGGGAUGGAGGUAAAAGGGUGCAUCUCGGAGCUGUUGGCUUGACUGGAGGAGGGUUUUGCUGGGAAGGCAGGCAUGGCUAUGGGGUUUAUAGAGGCUUAGGGUAGUGUUUGACUUCACCCCUUCUCACUGUGUGCUGGUGUGAGAGCCUCAAUUUCCUCUUUAAGUAGAGAUCAUAGUAACUUAUACAAAGCAACUGACCCAUGGUUGGGUGGAGACCAGCUACUCCACAAGAACAGGCUGGGCGCUGUGACUCACAAUUGUAAUGGCAGCACUUUGGGAGGCCAAGGUAGGAUGAUCGCUCAAGCCCUGGAGUUCGAGACCAGCCUGGGCAUUAUAGUGAGACCCUUUCUCUACAAAACAAUUGUUUUUUUUAAAGUAGUCAAGUGUGGUGGCAUGUGACUAUAGUCCCAGUUACUUGGGAGGCUGGGGUGAGAAGAUCACUUAAGCCUGGGUGGUGGAGGCUGCAGUGAGUCAUGAUUGUGUCACUAGACUCUAGAUUGAGUGACAGAGUGAGACCCUGCCUCAAAAAAAAAAAAAAAAAAAAA
rnacentral:lncRNA from 1 species